ensembl:snRNA U6 U6 spliceosomal RNA
AUGCCUUGGGCAGCGCAUAUACUAAAAUUGGAACAAUACGGAGAAGAUCAGUGUGGCUCCUGCACAAGGAUGACAUGUGAAUUCAAGAAGCAUCCCACAUUUUC